rnacentral:rRNA from 1 species
UGGUUAAGUUAGAAAGGGCGCACGGUGAAUGCCUUGGCACUAGGAGCCGAUGAA